rnacentral:lncRNA from 1 species
UUGUGGUCAGUUAUUUUUUUUUUUUUUUUUAGUUAAAUUAAGUAUUUCUUAAAAGUACUUGUGGUCUAGUUUAUUUUUUUUUUUUUUUUUAAGUAAAUUUAAGACUUUUCUUCAGGAAGGAUGCAUUAAAUUGUUCAUAAGUGACAGUAAAGAUUUGUCAUUCAUACAUCAUUCAUCUCAACAUGGAAAAAAAAAUCCAUAGCUGUUGAAAAAAAAAUUUGCUUUUCCAUCACAGGAAUAAAUUACAUUUUAAAAUAUAUUAAAACAGAAAACAGUUGUUUUUGUAAUAAUAUUUCACAAUAUUACAGCUUGCACUGAUCAAAUAAAUGCAGCCUUGGUAACCAUGAGUAUUCUUAAAAAUGUAUCUGACUAUGCCAGUUUUUUCCCAACAUUGAGCUCAUCACAAUGCAUUAUGGGAUUGUGUCCUCCAUAAAGGAUACAUGUGACACAGCCUUAGAUUUUGGCUGAGUUUUAGAAGGCAGUACGAUUAAGAUGCCUACCUUCUAGAGCAGUGCCUUUGAUAGAUCAAAAGUUCACUAGUUGUUGGAACAGAGCAAAAGUGUGACCGUAAGAAAUGUAAAGAUCUAGAAACAAGACACAUGCAUGCAUAAAAAGUAAUACCAAAACAGUAUUCCUCAGAGGAGGCUGAAGGACAGUAAAUAAUAUCACCUACAACCUUCCAUGGAAGGGGAAAAAAAACUUGGCUGAACCACCUUUACUAGAAAAUCUAAUGUCAACUGAUAACAAAUAAUGAUAACAAACUAAAGCAGAUAACGACUAAGAAGUGAGACAGAGGUAAAUAAGGUUUUACAAGGGGAAAAAGACAAGAUUAUAGCAGAAAUUCAAGUCUCAUGGAAGAAAGCCUCUCAACCUAGUCAUGUCUUUUUGUUUUCAGUGUAAACAAAGAGAGAAGAAAAGAAAGCGAUGAACGAUAUUCUCUUCCCCUCGGAUCCUCACUAUUAAUACAUGUGCAUCUCUAAUGGAGAUAAAUGUAGACCAGUAAAAGAGCAGGGGGAUAAAACAGAGAGAGACAGUGGGAAAAAGAGACGGAUGAAGGGGGCUGGGUGGAAGGAUGAAAGAUUGAUGGAGCGGGUUUUUGAGGGAGUGAAAGAGAGAAACAUUGUUGUGGAGGUGGAAAAACACAAGUAUCUCCAUCUAACAUCAUGAAAGAUAAAUGACAAAACACCAUGUGAAAUAGAUGUGCUCUAUUUUAGGUGUGUCUCUUGACCUGUGCUGAAGUGGCACAAAGGUUAAU